rnacentral:rRNA from 1 species
GAUGAACGCUGGCGGCGUGCCUAAUACAUGCAAGUCGAGCGAACGGACGAGAAGCUUGCUUCUCUGAUGUUAGCGGCGGACGGGUGAGUAACACGUGGAUAACCUACCUAUAAGACUGGGAUAACUUCGGGAAACCGGAGCUAAUACCGGAUAAUAUUUUGAACCGCAUGGUUCAAAAGUGAAAGACGGUCUUGCUGUCCCUUAUAGAUGGAUCCGCGUUGGAUUAGCUAGUUGGUACGGUAACGGCUUACCAAGGCAACGAUGCGUAGCUGAUCUGAGAGGAUGAUCAGUCACACUGGAACUGAGACACGGUCCAGACUCCUACGGGAGGCAGCAGUGGGGAAUAUUGGACAAUGGGCGAAAGCCUGAUCCAGCCAUGCCGCGUGUGUGAAGAAGGUCUUCGGAUCGUAAAGCACUGUAAGUUGGGAAGAAGGGCAGUAAGUUAAUAUCUUGCUGUCUUGACGUUACCAACAGAAUAAGCAACGGCUAACUUCGUG